rnacentral:rRNA from 1 species
CCUACGGGUGGCAGCAGUGAGGAAUAUUGGUCAAUGGGCGCUAGCCUGAACCAGCCAAGUAGCGUGAAGGAUGACUGCCCUAUGGGUUGUAAACUUCUUUUAUAUGGGAAUAAAGUGCAGUAUGUAUACUGCUUUGCAUGUACCUUAUGAAUAAGGAUCGGCUAACUCCGUGCCAGCAGCCGCGGUAAGUCGGAGGAUCCGAGCGGUAGCCGGAUUUAUUGGGUUUAAAGGGAGCGUAGGCGGGUUGUUAAGUCAGUUGUGAAAGUUUGCGGCUCAACGGUAAUAUUGCAGUUGAUACUGGCAACCUUGAGUGCGGUAGAGGUAGGCGGAAUGCGUGGUGUAGGAGUGAAAGUCUUAGAUAUCACGAAGAACUCCGAUUGCGAAGGCAACCUGCUGGACUGUAACUGACGCUGAUGCUCGAAAGUGUGGGUAUCAAACAGGAUUAGAUACCCUAGUAGUC